rnacentral:rRNA from 1 species
GACGAACCGUGCGAACGUUGUUCGGAAUCACUGGGCUUAAAGGGCGCGUAGGCGGGCGGUCAAGUCGGUGGUGAAAUCCUUCAGCUCAACUGGAGAAUGGCCGCCGAUACUGACUGCCUCGAGGGAGGUAGGGGCAUGUGGAGCUCAGGGUGGAGCGGUGAAAUGCGUAGAUAUCCUGAGGAACGCCGGUGGCGAAAGCGACGUGCUGGACCUCUUCUGACGCUGAGGCGCGAAAGCCAGGGGAGCAAACGGG